UCUCAGUGAUGCGAUUCCAGUAGAUCCUUUCACCCCUGCACUGUGGACUCACCAUCAGGGAGAUGAAGAGGCCAGUGGCUGAGA